rnacentral:rRNA from 1 species
CGGAUUGUAGUCUGCAACUCGACUACAUGAAGCUGGAAUCGCUAGUAAUCGUAGAUCAGCAUGCUACGGUGAAUACGUUCCCGGGUCUUGUACACACCGCCCGUCACACCACGAGAGUUUGUAACACCCGAAGCCGGUGGAGUAACCUUUUAGGAGCUACCCGUCGAAGGUGGGACAAAUGAUUGGGGUGAAGUCGUAACAAGGUAGCCGUAUCGGAAGGUGCGGCUGGAUCACCUCCUUUCUAAGGA